rnacentral:rRNA from 1 species
AGGUAGAAAGGCUAGUGUUAAUCCAUGUUUAAUUGGUUGUAAAGGGUACGUGAUGGCAAAUCAAGCUUUAGAUAAAAUAGAACUAAAGGAUUAAUUUGGUAGAGUUACUUANGAGGGGGUUUUAAAGUACUAUUGGUGUAGAGAUGAAAUUCUGUUAUACCUUUCUUCUAAGGGAGAGUGAUGGCACAGGUAUAGGNGAAGGCAUCCCCUUAUGUGAUAACUGACGUUGAGGGACGAAGGCUUUACAUAAUGAACAGGAUUAGUUACCCCAGUAGUCGAAGCAGAAAAUGAUGAAUGUCAUAGAUUAGAUAUAAGUUUAUUCUAUAAAUGAAAGUGUAAGCAUUCCACCUCAAGAGUAAUUUGGCAACAUUGGAACUGAAAUCAUUAGACCGUUUCUGAAACCAGUAGUGAAGUAUGUUGUUUAAUUUGAUGUCACGCAAAAAACCUUACCACAAUUUGAAUAUUUAUAUUUUUUUUUAUUGUUUUCUUAUUAACUUACUUCUAACAACAAAUAACAAGAUGAAAAAAAAGCAAUCUAAUCUAGAGGCAAUAAGAUAUAUUUACAAGCGUUGCACGGCUGUCUUCAGUUAAUGUCGCGAGACUCUGGUUAGUUCCAUGAAAUUAAGGUAAACCCGUGGGGAUUUUU